rnacentral:lncRNA from 1 species
AGAGACGAUGCAUUUUGUGGGAGUGCAUAGUAAUUGCCCUUCAUAAGGAUGAUCUCAAAAGGUCAAGGGAUGGGCCCUGAAUAGCCCUAAUGUCCCUGAAACAAUCUAUUGUAUAGCUAUUGUCCAUACAUGUAAAGGAGCCCUUCUUGACCCUAUUCAUACUUUUCUGCCUCUGAGAUUUCCCAAGUGAAAAACUGUAUUCUACUUUAUCCCCAGACCCACGUCUACCUCUUUCAAGCUUCAACAAAAUAGUUCAACAUACGUUUCUUGAGCUCCUACUAUGUGCCAGACAUCAUGCUAGGUGCUGGGGAUAUAGAGAUAAAUAACACACAGUCUCUUCUCUGGGGAGUCCAUAGUCUAGUUUUCAAAAAAUUUUCCUUUGCACUGAUUUUGGGGAUUUAGUAAAUAAAUCUGUACUUAUCUCCUUUAUAGUUUCACAUGGAUGGAUCAGAGCCUCAGCCUCCAUCUUUCCACAGCGUUUAAGAUUUUGCCUCAUAUGCAUGCAUACUUGACAAAGACUUUACCACUAGAGAUAAUAGAGAAGCCAGAGAGAGUGAGGAGAAACUACCAGAUAAAUCAUUAUGAAGCAAAUGUUCUCCUUUCUCAAUAACAUGGACUCAAUAGCUGAAUGUGGCUCAGACAAAGCAUCUGUCUCUCCGUCUUUCAAACUUAAAAAGAAAAUCAUCAAGACCUCAGUAGAGAAAUGAGUAAUGCACGGGAUUUCAUGGAAGAGGAAACAGGACUAGUAAAUAAACACAUGAAGACUGAAGUCCA